UUUUGCCAUUUCUUGGGCCUCUCCCGCGGCAUAUGGAGGGUCCCAGGCUAGGGGUCUAAUCGGAGCUGAAGCUGCCAGCCUACACCAGAGCCACAGCAAUGUGGGAUCCGAGCCGCAUCUGUGACCUACACCACAGCUCACGGCAAUGCCAGAUCGUUAACCCACUAGCAAGGGCAGGGAUAGAACCUGCAACCUCAUGGUUCUUAGUCGGACUCGUUAACCACUGCGCCACGACGGGAACUCCAGUUUUCUAAUAAUAUGAAAAAUAUAUUUUUCUCAUUGAAAGUUUUCAUACAAUUUUGAAAUGAAGAAAUCUGAUGCCUUCAGCCAUGUUCUUCUUGCUAAAGAUUGCUUUGGCCUUUUGUGACUCAAAUUAAUUUUAGUAUGUUUAGUCUAUUUCUGUAGAGAAUGCCAUUGGGUUUUGGAUAAAGAUUGCACUGAAUCUGUAGAUCACUUUGGGUACACAGAGAUUUGAACAAGAUUAAUUCUCCCAAUCCAUAAACCCAGGAUGUCUUUCCAUUUUUUGUGUCUCCUUUAAUUUUCUUCAUCAGUGUUUAAUAAUGUCCAGUGUACAAGUUUUUCACCUCUUAGGUUAGUUUCAAUCCUAAAUAUUUUAUUAUUUUGGUUGUUAUUGUGAAUGGGAAUAUUAUCUUCAUUUCCUUUUCAAAUACUUCAUUGUGUACAUAAAGUCUACAGAUGAAUGAGUGGACAAAGAAAAUGUGUUAAAUAUUAGAUGUUUAUACAUAGCAUGCAUAUUGGAAUAUAUGUAAUAUAAUAUAUAUAAUAUUAUUUAGCCUUAAAAAUGAAAAAAAAAAAAUCUACCAUUUGACGAAACUUUCUAUCUAAAAAGAGAAAAAUCCUGCCAUUUGAUAACAUAGAUAAAUCUGGAGGAUAUUAUGUUAAGGAAAAUAAGCCAAACACAGAAAUCAAGUACUGAGUGAUGUCACUUAUAUGUGGACUCUAAAAUAGUCAAACUCAAAAGAAGCAGAAAGUAGAAUGGUGGCAGUCAGGGCCUGGGGCAAGGGAAAAUGCGGAGAUAUUAAUUAAAGGAUAUAAAGUUUCAAUUACACAAGUGCUGUAGAUCUAAUGCACAGCAAUGUGACUAAUACUGUACCGCAUGCUUGAAAUUUGCUAAAAGGGUAGAUCUCACCUCCCCACACAGACACAGACACAGACACAAACACACACACACACGCACACGCAGACACACACACACAAGAAAAUGGGGACUAUGUGAGGAAAGAAGUACGUUAAUUAGCUCGAGUGAGGUUAUUAUUUCGCAAUGUAUUUCAAAACAUUAGGUUGUACAUCUAAAGUAUAUAUAGUAUUUGCUUGUCAACUACACUUCAAUAAAGCUGGAACAAUGUCUUUAUAAAAUUUUUAAAUUUUUGUAAAUUAUUUUUGUAGAUCAGAAUUCUUUUUCUAAUUGUUCUGCUUAGAAGUUACUACUUUUUGCUUUCUUCUCUGCUCACCUGAAUUUGUUUUCCUUCUCUAUCCCAUAUGAAUUUGAGUUGUUUCAUAUCUCCAAGAAAGAAAAACCUAUUAUUUAUCUUCCCAUUAAUAUUCCUUCAAAGAUAACCUUUUUAAAAAUUCUUUUUCAUAAGACUUUUGUCAUAACCUUUUAUAAAAAUGAGUACUUUAAGUUGUGGAUUAAAUAAUGGUUAACAAAUAUAAGUACUAUAAUUCAAUGAUAAAUCACGUUUGCUCUACAACACUGCUUUUUAAGCCUAGAUUUUUGAGGAUUACAAAACACUUUUACAUACAUUAUUUCAUCUGUUCUUUAUAAUAACAAUCAGUGUUGUGCUAAUAAAUGCUAAUAAACUGGCUUUUAAAAAAAGCCCUGAUUCAUAAUGCAUGACAAUCUCUGUGGCAUAAUACUCCCACCAUGGCCAAUUUCAACCAACUAAUGAUUUAAAAGUGGUUUGUAAAGUUCAUGAAUAUUUAACAGUCGGCUCUUGCCAGCCACACAGCUUCAGCACAUUGCUGGAUUUUGGGAUGUAUAUCCACAUUUUUUCAAAGAAAAACAAGAGCCAAGACAAACAGUAACUUUUUCUAAAUCACAUAGCUAGGAUGACACUUCAGGUCAUCCCAUUCCAAACCAUAUGCUCUUUUCAUAUAAUAAAUCUACCUCUUUAUUCAUAAUAAUGCAAAUUUUCACUAAGUGCAUUAUUAUGGGGCCCUUGCCUAUUCAUAAAAAAAUUGUGGGUACAUACAGAUUAAAACACAUUUUUAAAAAUAAUAUGAAUUUCUAGAUAAAACCAAAUGAUUAUUUUUAAAUGAAGCAGGACAGCCAACAGCAAAGCUUUUAGAUAUUAAUAUCUACCAACACCAUUUUUUCUGCAAUAAAAAUGUUAUGGAAAUUUACCAUGAGCACUGUGGUUUGUAGGACAUUGAAUGAGAGCAAAGAAUAGCCCUUUAGCCAUGGUUUUAUGAAAUAUAGAAACCAAAUAGUUUUUCCAUAGAUAUUCAAAGGUAAGUCAUCUUAUUUAUUUACUCAUAACUCAAUGGAAAUAAUUAAGAUUAAGAUGGAGUAGAUUAGUAGGAAAAUAAUAAAACAGCCCAGAGAGACAAUCCUUCUAGGCAUUGUUUUUUAACUUAGACUGGCCAGAAAUGACAUGUCUUAAAAACAAUUUUUAUCCAAAACAAGUUGACAAUCCAAAUCCUUUUACAGCCCUAUUAGACCACUUGCCUGCAAUUCUCAAUAAAAUGAUUUGUAAAACCUUUAAUUUAAAGACAGAAGCAAGAAUUACUUUAUAUUUGGAGACUGAACAACAGGAGAGUAUGGUUGUUCAGAAAACAAUCAGAGCACUUUAGCCCAAAAACAAGUAACAGAAUUUCUCAUAAGGAAAGGGUAUUAUUUCAUAUUUCUGGAAUAAGCUUGGAAGUUGCUCUUCUUACAUACCCCCCCCAAAAAAACCAUUAUUCUAUUAGUCAUUCAUUUAGUUAUUCAUCCUUUCAACAAAUAAUCUGUAAUCACCUACUUACUAAAGCCCGGGUUUCAUGUUGGAAGCUGAUGAUAAAAUCUGCAGUCUAAUCCUAACAUGCUUGAAAGAAAGAGACAUUUUCCACUUGAAAGAAGACUACAUUGUUUUAAAAAUUGAGGUGGGACAUUUAUCUGAUGGGUUAAAAUUUAAAGAAAUGUUUCCCAUCAAUUUUUAGAGAAGAACUUAAAUCUGGUGCUGCUCCUUAUGUUCUCAUCCAUUCAUCCCAGGUGUCCCAGAGACCAAUGUCCUACCCAGAUCAAUAGAAACUUGGAGUAUGUCAGGGUAGAUAUUUUAGCACCUAUCACUUUCACAAAUCAGAAGAGAGUGAAGGCACCUCUUUGGCUACAGUGUUCACUCAGUCUGCCUAGCUUUUCUCUCUGGAGCCACACUGACAAGGUCAGUUUCCCCUGUUGGUGACUUCAUCAUAAACAUUUCAAACGUAUCAUCUGUUGCCCAGGAGCCAAAAUGUUUUGCACCUAAGACAACCUGUACAAUGAUGACCAACUUGAGAGGCUCAUUCUCCUUCGUAAUUAAGUUUGAUCUGGGGGUGUGCUUCUGAAUCUCCUGUUGCUUUGGGACUUCAGCUGUGCCAGUUUUGAUUAAAAACACAUCCAGACUGUAUUAUGAUACCCUGCUAUGAUCAGCACUACUUUCUAAGUGCACUGAAGUUUCAACUGAUAGAAAAUUCAUCAACUAAUUGCAUAUCAUCUAAAUAAAAUUAAAUGUGGUUUUGUUCUCAAAUAUAAAAAAGAUCAAAUGUACGUGGAAUCAUUAACACUAAUACCAAAGCAAACCAAAUUAAGUCAGUCUAUAGGAGACUUAUUUAAGCAAUCCUACUAAGGUGUAUUCCUUUAUAAAAUCAAAUGAAUGCUUUGCAUAAAACACUUUUUUAGUGGUGGUUCUAAUAACCAACAAGUCGGUUAUGACAUGGCAAGGAGACUUCUCUAAGCACAAACUGCCAUUAUGGGGAGUUAGGAGUCCAAGCGUAAAGACUGGGAGUUUCUUAGUUUCUUUCUUUCUUUCUUCCUUUCUUCCUUCCUUCCUUCCUUCCUUCCUUCCUUCCUUCCUUCCUUUCUUUCCUCUCUCUCUCUCUCUCUUUUUUAGAGCCACACUCGAGGCAUAUGGAAGUUCCCCAACACCGGAUCCUCAACCCACUAAGCAAGGCCAUGAUCCCCUUUAAGUCCUCCAUCCUGUGGAGAUUUCUUUGAAGCUUAAAAGAUUCAAUCCUUUCCUUGUAUCUUUAUUGGCAAAUAUUCUUGGAGUGGUAUCUUCACAAUAUAAAAGUGUGGCAAUGUUUGUUAAGACUGUAAAUAUCUAGAGGGUAGAAUCUCUUUCUUAUAUUACAUAGUGGAUGCUUUUGGUUCUACACCAAAAUACGCUUUACAUGCCAGUUCAUCUAGCCCUAACCCAAUUAAAUGCUAACUAACACUGCCCCAUUUCUUUUCUAACAAAUGACUUCAUGCAAAAGGAGUCCCCCACACCCACACAGAGCUGACCUCAGUCCAGAACUGACUGACACAGGGGUAUGAAGGUAGGACAGAGUCUACAGCGCAAGUUGUGCUCUAGAGCUUCCCUGAGAUCAGACCAAAGCUGAGCCCAAAUUGAAACUACUUCCUGGCUUACCUUUCCUCCUCUGCCCCAUCCUCAUACUUCAUGCCCUUCCCCUGAGAACACUCAAACAAAAAUCCCUGUCUCAGGCUCUGCUUCUAGAUGUUAACUUGGCACAUGGCAUGUUUUUGAGAAAUAUUUAUUGAGAUGAAAUCCAAAGCAUACCAAUUAUAAAAAUUAUUAGUCUUAACAAAAAUCCAUCUAAAAGAACAGGUGUGUGUGUGUGUGUGUGUGUGUGUGUUUAAUUGAAAUAAUAUGUCUAAACAUAAUAGUUGAAAUAAUUUACCUUUUUUCAAUAAGGGAAAUUAGUGUAAUAUACAUUCCCAGGAGGCAUAAAAGCUGAUGCAUACUUAAAUGUACUCUAUUAUCUUUAUAUCAUUUACUCUACAGGGAGUAGUCAGUAUCUUAACUGGUAAUAAAAUGACUUGAAUUGAUUUUCUUGUAUUUAAAAAUAAUCAUCAUAGCUGAAACAAUUAAAAAGAAAAACGCAUAACUGGGUUUUGUGCAAAUCAUAUUUAUUAAUAGAGCUCAGUUUUAUUAUUGGACUUUAUUAUGAAAAAAUGUCAGAAUAAUAACACAUUCUGAAAUUUAAUCAUACCCAAAUCUUUGGUCAUUUUUGAUAAUGAAAAUGGUAAAGAACAGACAUCCUUGAAGAAUCAAGACUGAUUUCUUUAAUAUGACUACCUCUUGUUUAAUUAUAUUCCGAGAUGAAAGUUAUUAGUGCAAUAUCAGCCCCAUGUUGAGUAAUUUCAUCACAUGGAUCUACACCAAGGACAAAAGCAGGGAAGAUGAUGAAGAAUUGUUCUCAUAUCUGAACAUACUUUUAGUAUUUA
rnacentral:lncRNA from 1 species